CAGUAGCCACGGUAAUACGGAGGGGGCUAGCGUUGUUCGGAAUUACUGGGCGUAAAGCGCACGUAGGCGGCUUGGUAAGUUAGAGGUGAAAGCCCGGAGCUCAACUCCGGAAUUGCCUUUAAGACUGCCGAGCUAGUAGGUGAGAGAGGUAAGUGGAAUUCCGAGUGUAGAGGUGAAAUUCGUAGAUAUUCGGAAGAACACCAGUGGCGAAGGCGGCUUACUGGCUCAUUCUAGACGCUGAGGUGCGAAAGCGUGGGGAGCAAACAGGAUUAGAGACCCGAGUAGUCCCUGUCUCUUAUAC
rnacentral:rRNA from 1 species